CCAGAUUCCACCACAACCCCCCGUCCAAGCUAAGAAUCAACAAAGUCAGCCGUCUGGACAGUCUCCCCAAGGCAUGCGGUCCAUGAACAACAUGAGUGCCAGUCCUAUGGGUGUAAAUGGAGGUGUAGGGGUUCAGACACCGAAUCUUCUUUCUGACUCCAUGUUGCAUUCAACCAUAAAUUCUCAGAACCCAAUGAUGAAUGAAAAUGCCAGUGUGGCCUCUCUGGGUCCUUUGCCCACAGCAGCCCAGCCAUCUAGUACUGGAAUUCGAAAACAGUGGCAUGAAGAUAUUACUCAGGAUCUUCGAAACCACCUUGUUCAUAAACU
rnacentral:lncRNA from 1 species